rnacentral:lncRNA from 1 species
UCAUGCUUAGGCUGAGGAAGGUUGGUGAAAACAUUACCUAUCCAUCCAUCCAUUAAUUUUGUGACCAAUUCAUUGCGUACCGAUCGUACCUAAGCCUCAAUUACCAUUUAUAAGUGCCGGUCAUGCUUAUGCUCUGCUCCAUUUUAUUUGCUCACCCUAGACACGACGCUAAACACUUGUUUGCCAAGCUUUUCAGAGACAGUGCGUUCGGAACCUGUAUGCCUCAUACACCUUUUGGAAUUUAUGGAAGGAGUGAAAUGCUCGAAUUUGUUGCUUAUCAGGAUUGUAGAGAAUUCUGUUAACAGUCGGUUGUAUCAAUGUAUAAAUAAACCAGUAUUUGCUGCUGUAGAUGCAGAAUGAAAAUUUGGCAUUCGUUGCGUGAAAAACUACUGUGUACAGGUUAUUCUGUUUUAUAUACUCUGUUUCCUCUUGCUCAGUUAACACGGUGUGAAGGACAAGCACAAAUUCAUUUGUGUGUGUACAGGUUACUCUCGGUAGUAUUCCAGAUUUUGUAUCCAAUGCAUACCGCAUUGUAUUGCCACCCCAUGAGUUUGAAAAUUUGAUGUGUUAUAUUCUUAACUCUUUGGAACUGUAUCAUAUUCACUUAGUCGUGAAUUAUAGAGCAUUGCUUGUUUACACAAUUUAUUUACAGUUUUAUUGAGUACUGCCUGCCAUUUUUCUAUAAUACUCACCUCUAUACUCAUAUAUGAAUGUUCAGCUAUAUAGCAUUUAUUUGAUACAAAAUCGUUUUUUUAAAGGAGGAUAUACCCCGGCCUCUGCAUCUAGGUGAUGCGUACAUCCACUUUAUUAAUUAUUUAUAAAAAAACUUACAAAAUGAUACAUUAGUAAACCUGAAUCCACCGUUUUGUGUGGUAGGUGGAGUUGUGUCCUGAUAAUUGGUGGUUGGAUCAAAGCAGACUCUUGGUCUUGUCAUCUUAAAUGUUGCGGUUGCGGAACUGGAGGCUCUUUGUCAGUUGAAAGUUGAAACUAGUAUUUCAGAGCAUGUUGUUUCGGAUGCGGGCAUGGCUCGAGAGCGAGGUGAAUGCUACCUUUUUUGCAGAUGUAGGUUUUGGAGACGUUUUAACAUGCAACGAUCAGCAAACUGCUUGCUCUUAUGGGAAAAUCUGAAUUGGCUGUGCCAAAUUUUGCUACAAAUGGAUGUCAUUCUGUGUUACAGACAGUAUGCCAUUCUAGCUAGCUUUUGGGAUUUGUUCCUAACUAUACAACCAUUGUGAGAUUUAGGGUCAGCUUUCAAGUUUGUUUUGCAGAUGGAUUAAAGCAAGUUAAGGACGACACAAAAAUAAGAUUGGCCUUUUUCUGCUUAUGCUGGAGCUGUUGGCUGGUGGUUGUGGCAAUGCUCUGUCGAUGAACAAUUGGGUUUUGUUUGUUUGGUUGUCAACUUUUUGGCGUAUCAUUACUCUCUUGUCAAUUCAUUUUUCUACCCAAUAUUUUCAUUUAUAGGUGACCAAAUUUUGUUGUGGGGUAAAAAGCAUUGGUCUCUUUGGUGCAAAUUCUUGGAGAUACAUUUGCUUUUCUAGGGCAAUUCUGAUUCAUAUACAUUGCUAAGUGUAAAGUUGUACUGUAGUGAAAACAAAGAGAGUAGUAGAUUUUGCUGGUUGCCUGCUCAGGUACGUGCCGGUUACAGGGGUGCCGCUUCCUACACUAGCGACAGGAUACCCAAGGCUGUGGUAGCCCCUAAGCCACAGUUUGUCAUGGGAGAGCCUUUGGUCAGCAAAGAUGAUCUCCCAAUAAAUAUGUAUUACUUGCAUCAAUGGUACUUAAGUGAAUUAAAGAAUGGGAGAACGAUGAUCGUGCUGAGUGUCCCACGGGAGUACUACGGCCGCUCCAAAAAAAUCCAUAUCGACUUUGAUGAACUCUUCCAGAUGUACAAUGGCGACGCCCUCGACAAAUCGCUUAUGAGUUGCUAUUGUCUGUAAGUUUUUCAAUUCGUUGUCUACAUAUAACUUGUUUAGUUAUUUCAAUUCAUUGUCUAUAUAUAACUUGUACUCUAUUAUGCAGAAUGAAGAUUCUAGAUUGUAAAAGUAAGACCAUCCUAAAUAUUGGGUUUAUUGACCCAGAUAAAAUACAUAUAGCGAUGCUAACUGAUAAACCCAAGGGGACGGAGGAAAACCUUCUAAGGUUUCUAAUAGAUCAAAAUUUCUGUGACCACAUACUGUUUCCAUACAACUUCAGGUGAGGGUCUUUACUCUGUUGUGUCCAUUCACUUAUAAGUGUAAUUGAUAAGUUACUGACACACACACACACAUAUAUAUAUAUAUAUACAUGUGCAGCUUCCAUUGGAUUCUGUUGGACAUUCAAAUUGAUAAGGGAAGAGUUGAUGCCUUCGACCCAUUAUUGAGACCCUUGUAACAGUUCCAAAGCUUGCAGGACAUGCUCCAAGGGUAAUUUUAAUCAUUCUUGCGCUCUAUCGGUCUCUUUCGAUGAUUUUCUGAUAUAUCAAUUAAUGAAAAACUUAGCAAAUCAUUAUCCUUGUCGGGCAGGGUUUGGAAGCGGUUCAAGUGCGUGACUCCCGGUAACUUUCAUGAGAAGCUGAUCUUUAGAGCGGCUCAGGUAAGUAGUAGUAUGAUAUACUUCUAUUAAUUUUCAAUACAUUUAUGAUGCUAGAUUAUUAUUUUGAUUAUAUAUAUUCUAUUCUCGUAAAGUGCGACCAGCAGCCACGGGGAACGCAUCUAUGCAGAUACUAUGUUUGCGAGACCAUUCGCACGUUUACCUCUGAGCUCAAGGAUCACAGAUUCGACGUAAGCAAUGAACAUUCACACCUCUAUUUUUACCCGUCAUUCUUUGUUAUCAUGAUUGAUAUUCAUAUUCAUCUCCUCUUCUUCUAUAGCACACGGCCAUGAGGACGAAUGUCCUACCAGAGCAACGUGUGAUUGCUGUUGCAGAGGAGCUUGCGGGAUUUCUGAGGACGGAAGUUAUAGAUGACAAAGGACGAUUUAGUGUAACUAGGGGCCAUUACUGAUGUUCGUCCAUGUAAUCGAAUAGACGGGCUCUAGUCCCGAUAAUUCAGAUCUCCAUAUAAUUGUAUAUAUAUGCUCGCUUGUAAGAUAAGUUAAUCUUAUAUAUACAUAUGCAUAAUUAUUUCUAUUUAAAUUAUAUGAAAACUAGUUCCCGAACACCAAACGAGGCAUCACGUUACUGUGCCGAACACCUAAACCCUAAAACCCUAAAACCCAAAAAUAAUUUCCUUCAAAAAAAACCCCCAAAAACCAGCAAAAUCUGAAAAUCUUUAGUCCCGGUCCGUGUAACGAACCGGGACUAAAGGGCCUGUCCCUGGGGCGCUACGAGGCGCCCACGUGGAGCACCUUUAGUCCCGGAUUGUAACAGGGCCGGGACUAAAGGUUAGGCCUUUAGUCCCGCCCCUUUAGUCCCGGUUGGUGAACCGGGACUAAAGCCCCUUACGGGCCGGUUACAGGGGUGCCGCUUCCUACACUAGCGAGCAGGGACGGAGUCAGCAUGCAAGCAUAGGGGGCCAAGUUUGUACAUGAAGGGAGCAAAGUUCAUAUGAAAUGAAAUUUUUUGGCUACAACAAUCACUAUUAUAGUAGAAAAAUCAAUUUGUUACGGGAGUCUAUCUCCUCCUCGCCCCUAGAAUCGUCCCUGCUAGCGAGCACCUCUACCUGUGUUGUGAUGUUGUUAGUUCACUUCAGUCCUUUUCGCCCACUCUGUCCGUUCAUCCCGCAUUCAUAGGCUCGGUGAGCUGAGACACCGUGCCCCCUCUUGACCACUACUGUCUCCAGCCCUCCAUCUCGUGUGAGACCACCAGCCGUUGCGCAGAAGGGCCGCAGCAAUUUGGACAACCAAUGAUAUGACAGAUGGGCUACGUCGAGGUACACUCGCCAAGUUCCACUUCCCCCGAUUUGCUUGCAUACUUUUAAGUCUAGGUUUCAAAUUGGAAUGCGCUGGGACAUCGGCCCCGCUUGAAAGCAGUGUAAAAAAAUUCCAGUCGUAAUAUUUUACAACCGUAACUUAGUGGUAGGACGGAAUAAAACCUCCGUAUCUUCAUCCCCACCAAAAGCUGUUUGGAAAGAUACGCCAUAGAAAAGCAGGCGGAGCGAGCCGUCGGGAAGAGGAGGCUGGAGGAAGAGACUCGCUCCCUCACCAUCAUGGUCGCCUGCGACAACGCCUCACCUCGUCGCCGUCAUGGUCGUCGGCGCCUCGCUCCCUCGCCAUCACGGUCUCCAGCGACUCGCCAACCCUUGCAGUGCCUCGUGUGGUUAGAUCAUCAUGAGAGAUAUAGAGAAUGCACAGGAAGAAUAUAUAUGUGUUGGGCGGUGUGUCAAAUAUACCGGUGUAAUCCGGAUGUAUCCAAAAAACCCGGUGUAAUUUCUAUGGUGCGAGACGAAAUUCCAAGGACGAUUUGACCUAGACCUUUAUUUUUUUCACAGGUAUAACUUUUACGGAGCGGUUUCGGACAGAAAUACAACGUUCCAAGCGCGGCCUUCGUCUCUUGUGAGCGUGGGUUGCAAUCGCGGGGGACAGAGGAAAACAAUAUUUUAUCCAGUUUUUACAGAGCGUUAUUUUUCUUCCACUUUCUAAUUGUCUGCACGUGGAUAUCUCCCUAUGGAGGGAUUCGGCUGAGCUGUACUCCCACCUUCUAAACUUUGCUCAUCUGCGAGCCCGUCGGUAAUCACGGUGCCUUCCCUCUUCUGAAAUAGAUGUUCCUGGAAUUCUCCGACACCCGAGAUGAACCGGUGAGAUGAUAAGUUUCCACAUGCCUCUCAUUCAUAUUUCAUAACGUGUUGCAUCAAAUCCAUCCCAUUGAUUAUUGUCACUGCCUUCUCUCGCUUGGGAACCUCGACCCCAGUCGUGUUUGUUUGGCUGCUAGUACAAUACUGAUAACAUAGUUAGAGGCCACAUGGAGACAACAGGCAGCAGCAUUGAGUCCUUUAUAAGUGCCGGUCAUGCUUAGGCUGAGGAAGGUUGGUGAGCACAUUACCUAUCCAUCCAUUAAUUUGGUGACCAAUUCAUUGAGUACCGAUCGUACCUAAGCCUCAAUUGCUCUUUAUAAGUAUGGGUCAUGCUUAUGCUCUGCUCCAUUUUAUUGGCUCACCCUAGACACUAGGCUAAACACUUGUUUGCUAAGCUUUUCACAGUGCGUUCGGAACUUGUAUGCCUCAUUCACCUUUUGGAAUUUGUGGAAGGAGUGAAAUGCUCGAAAUUGUUGCUUAUCAGGAUUAUAGAGAAUUCUGUUAACAGUCGGUUGUAUCAAUGUAUAAAUAAACCAGCAUUUGUUGCUAUAAAUGGAGAAUGGAAAUUUGGCAUUCGUCGCCUGAAAAACUACUGUAUACAGGUUACUCUGUUUUAUAUACUCUGUUUCCUCUUGUUCAGUUAACAAGGUGUGGAGGACAAACACAAAUUCAUUUGUGUGUGUACAGGUUAGUAGGCUACUCUCGGUUCAUUUGUGUGUGUUCCCAUGAGUAUGAAAAUUUGAUGUGUUUAUAUUCUUAACUCUUUGGAACUGUAUCAUCUUCACUUAGUCGUGAAUUAUAGGGCAUUGCUUGUUUACACAAUUUAUAGUUUUUUUGAGUACUGUCUGCCAUUUGUCUAUAAUACUCACCUCUAUACUCAUACAUGAAUGUUCAGCUAUAGCAUUUAGUUUGAUAGGACAAAAUUGCUUUUUUAAAGGAGGAUAUACCCCGGCCUCUGCAUCUGGGUGAUGCGUACACCCACUUUAUUAAUUAUUUAUAAAUUUUUUAUAAAGUAACACAUCGGUAAAACUGAAGCCACCGUCUUGACAACAUCUGUCGCUACUUCUAUGCCCUUGAUGAAGGGGGUGCCAAAUAUAUGUGCCGAAUACUAAACAUACAUUGCACCAAAGCCUAACAUAUACAGUCGGAUGCCCUAACCCAGCCACAUAGUGGGACUGUGUCACACACCGGUCUAGGCGCACUCUCAGAAGCUGUCGUCACCGUCUUCCACUGGUCCAUCUUUAGAGCAGGUACUGACACAUCGACCUUGUCAGGCCUGCCAUCGACGCCAUCAUGGUGCCAGACAGCGCCACCAUCCUGCACGUACACAUUCACCCGCACCCGUCGCCGAAACUCUGCAGGGCCAUGAACGUACCAGGCUUUAGCAGCGUCAUCUCGAAGGGUGAGCCAUCCAUGGCAGCUGUCCAAGACGACGAGGGGGUCGACGAUACGGGCGUUGGCAAGAAGGACAUCGAGCUCGUGAUGAUACAGGCCUCCGUGUCGAGAUCCAGGGCCGUGGAGGCGCUCAAGGCUGCGAACGGCGACAUCGUCAGUGCCAUCAUGGAGUUGGCUAACUAGGGGCUGGUAGGUGGAGUUGUGUCCUGAUAAUUGGUGGUUGGGUCAAAGCAGCCUCUUAGUCUUGUCAUCUUAAAUGUUGCGGUUGCGGAAUUGAAGGCUCUUUGUGUGUUGAAAGUUGAAACUAGUAUUUAGGAGCAUGUUGUUUCGGAUGCGGGCAUGGCUCCAGAGCGAGGUGAAUGCCACUUUUUUUGCAAAUGUAGGUUUUGGAGAUGUUUUAACAUGUGACGAUCAGCAAACUUCUUGCUCUUAUGGAAAAAUCUGAAUUGGCUGUGCCGAAUUUUGCUACAAAUGGAUGUCAUUCUGUGUUCCAGACAAUAUGUCAUUCUAGCUAGCUUUUGGGAUUUGUUCCUAAAUAUACAACCAUUGUGACAUUUAGGGUCAUCUUUCAAGUUUGUUUUGCAGAUGGAUUACAACAAGUUAAGGACGACACAAAAAUAAGAUUGGCCUUUUUCUGCUUAUGAUGGAGCUAUCGGCUGGCGGCUGUGGCAAAGCUCUGUCGAUGAACAAGUGGGUUUUGUUUGUUUGGUUGUCAACUUUUUGGCAUAUCAUUACUCUCUUGCCAAUUCAUUUUUUUGCCAAUGUUUUCACUUAUAGUUGACCAAAAAUUGUUGUGAGGUAAAAACCCUUGGUCUCUUUGGUGCAAAUUCUUGGAGAUACCAUUGCUUUUCUAUGGCAAAUCCGAUUCAUAUGCAUUACUAAGUGUAAGGUUGUACUUUAGUGAGAAGAAAGAGAGUAGUAGAUUGUGCUGGUUGCAUGCUCAGGUACGUGCUGGUUACUGCAGGUGCCGCUUCUGCACUAGCGAGUGCAUCUACCUUUGUUGGGAUGUUGGCUUGUUCACUUCAGGCCUUCCCGCCUCCAUCCGCUCGGUGAGCUGGAAACCGUGCCCCCUGUGGACCAAUACUGCUUCCAGCCUUCUACCUCGCGUGAGACCACCCGCCGUUGNNNNNNNNNNNNNNNNNNNNNNNNNNNNNNNNNNNNNNNNNNNNNNNNNNNNNUCAUUGGCUCACCCUAGACUCUACGCUCAACACUUGUUUGCCAAGCUUUUCAGAGACAGUGCGUUCGGAACCUGUAUGCCCCAUACACGUCUGGAAUUUUUGGGAGGAGCGAAAUGCUCGAAUCAUUGUGCAUCUCGCCCUUCGGAGUUGCAGGUGGCCUCCAAGACUGCAAAUGACACGUCAUUCCUGUUGCAGUUGUAGAAUAGCCUACUGUUGUAUUUCUUGUUUGUAGCCUAUGUUUUCCCCUUUGAUCCCUGCUAGGUUGUUGUAAAUCUUAUCCCUGUUUCAAUUAAAUCGAAACUGAAAUCCACACACCAUCUAGUACAAUAUGGUAUCUUGAUACUAUGGUGCUUCAAUUCAUUGUUAUAUCUCUGAUUACGAGUAAAAGCGAGAGGCCUGUGAGACACCAUGGCACUAGGGCUGGUCUGGCACCGGGUUCCAUGCCAGCUGGGUUUGGAUAAAGGUCUUCGCUCAUGCCAUCUUGAACUUGAGAUUUUAUUCGUGUUUCAUUACAAACUAUUCCCAUGUAGGUUUUCUAGGCCUUUUAACGUCUUGUCUUGUCCUCUAGUGGAAAUCUUAAUCAGCUUCUCGGUGUUAGUGUAAACCUUAUUCUGGUCUUUGUGAUGUACUAUGUGUUGCAAAACAGCAAAAGUGAACAAGUUACUUUGUGACAUUUUUCAUUCGUUGGAACAGUCAUAAUGUGUUGCAUCGGCACUGUGCUGGACAUGGUCCUAAACGUUGUAUGCCAUCUUAACAAGAUUGUAAAGAAUUCUGUUAACAGUUGGUUGUGUCCAUGUAUAAAUAAACCAGCAUUUGUUGCUGUAGAUGCAGAAUGGAAAUUUGGCAUUCGUCGCCUGAAAAACUACUGUGUACAGGCUACUCUGUUUUAUCUACUCUGUUUCCUAUUGUUUAGUUAACUCGGUGUGGAGGACAAACACAUAUUCACUUCAUGUGUGUUCCUGAGUCCGCUCGACUGAAAGAGGGAGCAGGCCGGCGGCUAACAAUAGGUGUAGUGUUCCAGAUUUUGUUUCCAAUGCAUACCACAUUGCAUUGCUUCCCCAUGAAUUUGAAAAUUCUAUGUGUUUAUAUUCUUAACUCUUUCGAACUGUAUCAUAUUCACUUAGUCCUCAAUUAUUCAACACUGCUUAUUUAUACAAUUUAUAGUUCUCUUGAGUACCGUCUGCCAUUUGUCUAUACUCACAUCUAUACUGAUACAUGAAUGUUCAGCUAUAGCAUUUAGUUUGAGAGGGCAAAAUCGUGAAUGUAAAAUCUUGCUUUUGCAAGUGCGAUCUUGAUAGGUGAACCAUUUCAAUGCAUUCAGUAUGAAGUGAUGCUGGAAUUUCCAUUACACGAGUAGCUAAUCUUUUGCACGUUACCCUAAGAGGGAUAUCUUGUUCAAAAUUCCAAAAAUUAUAAUUUGUACCAAAAGACUUGAUUGCAGUCACAUUUUGUGUCAAUAUGAAUGUUACACUUGCCAUUUCCAUGAAGUAAACUAUGUCUAGUUGUAGAAUUCUCGUCUUGUGCAAAAUUUUGAAAAUCUGACGUUAUGCGGGUCUAGGAGGCGAUGCUAGUGGAAGAUCUAGGCAGAGUAGGAGUGAGAAGAAGAUUAGGAAAGCCAUGGUGAAGCUGGGCGUGAAGGUCAUAACUGGUGUGAGCUGUCUAACUAUCAAAAAGAACGAGACCGUGAGCAUCUUAACCACUCGACACCAUUGUUCCCUGUAGCAUAAUUAGGGCAUAUACAUACCGGCCAUCUAUAGCAGUCCUCCACGUUAGUUGUAGAUAACCGUAAAAACAACAUCCACAAUAGGCCAUCUCUUUGGCUAUUUGUAGCACCGUGGAAAAUAGGAUAGAGAUAAGAAACGCGGUAGUUAGGUGGAGGGAAAUAUAGCCCUAAAAACGGUGGUAGGCUGGUGACCGCGGUUGCGUCUUGUGGGGGUGGGUGUGUCAGCAAUUGGGGCUCGGCAGGGGUUGCGUAUCUGCGGUGGUGGUUACGGCUGCCACAGCUAUAGCGGCGGGGCGCGGGGUGAGUACCUUCCUUCUCCUGGGUACGGGCCGGCGGCGUGUGUUUCGGGCGGACGGGUUUUGGGCCCGAGGUGCAUUGGAGAUCUUUCUCCGAGUAGUUGAGGUAGGGCUCAGUCCGGCUUGUGCUCGUGGGUGGUGCUCUUGCUUGCCUUGCGUGUCCGGUGGUAGGUGGCGAUGGUCAUGAUAACAUUUCUUGAUGCGUGAGUCGGUGUCGGUGAUCACAUACAUGACGUCCACUACUAGGAAAAGGCUUAUACGUGGUCGUAAAUUAAUGAUGGACGUGGUGAGACACCCUCCACUGCUACUUUGCCAAAAAGAUGUCCCGCCAUAGGUCUGCAUUCAACAUUGACGGGCGCUCACGUGCAUGCGCCACUACUAGGCUCUUCCAAAUUCAAUUAUGGCCCCAAAAGAGCAGUGGUGGGCAUCUUAUUAGGCCCUCCACCGGUUCUUUGAAAAGCAGUAGCGGGCAAUUCGUAGAGCCUGUUACAGUUUUAUUUUAACGACCUGCAACAAUUGUUUUUCAAUUUGAAUGAGUUUCCUGUGGCGGGUGGUGACUAUUGCACGAUCAAAGCUAUAGUUCGGCUACCUGCCGUCAGUCUCUUAAUAUAGCUGUACGGGUGAAAACUACAGCACACCACUUCUAUUACCGACCUUAGGCCUUUCACUACGUAGCCCGGUGCCCGGCACGUUCAAAUAUAGCAAAGUGGGCAUCGAUGCCGUGAUAAUUAUUUUGGCACCGGUCUCACAUCGUGCGGGUGUAGCCCGUAAAAAAAUAGGGCCCAUAUGUACAUAAAAAAAUCGAGGAAGCCAACCUUCCAUCAUCCUUCGUGCGAGUUCUUUUCGUCCACCUCUAAAAAAACCCCCUUUCUCCUCAGAUCUAUUUCCUUCCUCACCUCCUCGUCCCGAUCCAGUGUGGAUCUCCUUCCUCACCUCCUCACCUCCGGGCUACAUAUUGGUCGGCCCAAGGUCUCGGCAGAUCGAAGGAGCGAGGAGAAGAAUCCGGCGAUGUUCGCCGAGGCGUCGCGGUGAGUGGAGGUGUUGAGCCGUGGCAGACGGAUGGUCUGAGGCAGCGCAGUGAGCGGGAUGAUGUGCGGCGGGGGACGACUGGCUGAUGCUGCAGCAAGUGCUGCCGUGUGGACUGGUGGACGGCCGGGCGCUGCUGCUACAUGAGCACGUACGCAACCGGAAGCACCAUAGGUGAGGAUGUGUGGUGUUUGCAUGCCGGAUACAAAGAAGAAAAAAAGGCUUAUAAUAUUCAGUUAGGAGAUAGUAAUGUCAGUCUAUGAAUUGGGUAAUAGAAAUAUACCUGGUGUCCAGUCUGUGCAUGGUGUGCUCUUGUUCAGUUAGUGGAUUUGGCACCUCUUUUGGCCUACAUAGUGGAAGGUCUUAUCCACCAACCCGCAGCCACAGAUACCUUAUCCGGACACAAUACUAUCCCCUUCUACCUCUCGCUCGCUUCACCACCGUCAUCACUGUCGAUGCCUCCUCCACCGCCACCACCGCCGUGGCCCCCCUCCACCGCCUCGAACGGUGUCGCCGAUCUAAUAUUCUCUGACACCCGUACUGUACUUCCCCACCUCAAACUUCCUCGCCCUCACAUUCGGCCGCCACCUCGGACGUCCUAGCCGUCACUGUCCUUUGCGCUUUCUGCUCACUUUUAAUUGAGUUGGAUCUAGUCAGAAACCAAGUUCUCAUGUUAAAGUGUUCGAGCACGCCAAGUUCAUAGUCAAUUAGUAUCAUUUAUUUCGAAUUUCAAUUUUAAACAUAGCCCCACGCUUUCUCUAUGGGACCCACCCCCACCCGGCAUUUUCCUGGAGCGAUGCAGCAAGUCCGGCGACUAGACAUGUGGCGGCUUUGUGAAAGGUAGUCCCAAAUCACCAUUCUCCCCUUUGUUUUCCUUGUGUACCCUAGCUAUGUAUUCGCGAGGUCAACAUGGUCUGCAGCCUAGCGGAAAAGAGGAGAGUGGGAAAUCGAGCUGUACCCAUUCCAGUAUCUGCUUGAAAUGAGGUUGGCUAGUUUGGGCAGAUCGGCACUGCUACUUGAUCUCCUCCGCGAGCCUCUCAGAGUUUCUGCUACUACCUUCACUCCUAAGUAUUACUCUGACUUGGGGUGACCCUACUUCGGAUGUGUUUCAUCGGCACGAUGAGUUUCCAUAUGCCUCCCAUUCGUAUUUCUUCAUGGUCUGCGUCAAUCAAACCGAUGAUUUACUUCACAACGUUCUCUCGCUCGAGAUAACAUUGUGAGAGACUACAAGAAGUAGAAUACAUACACACGGACUCUCCCUUUUGUAAGUUUUGGUGAGCACAUUAGUUAUCAUUCCAUUAAUUUUGUGAGUCCCCUAGAAUCUGUUCGUACCUAUGCCAUAACUGCCCUUUCUGAAAACAGGUUUCACUACACACAUGUGAUCUGAUCCAUUGUCUCCAGCUAACCCUGUCCUCUAAUCUGAACACUAAUUAGCUAAGCUAGCGCGAGACAGUGUAUUCAGAGCCUCUACUAAAAAGCAGAACCAUGCUCAAAUGGUAUAGCCUCGUACACCAUCUGAUAUUUGUGCAAGGAGCGAACUGCUCGGAUCUUCAGCAACGCCACCUUUUGCCCUUCGCAUUUGCAGGUGGCCUUGAAGAUUGCAAAUGAUAUGCCAUUCAUAUUUGCGUUGUCAAAAUAGACUAGUGCUAUAUUUCUUCCCCGUAUCCUAAUUUUUACUUGUUCCCUGCAAUUUGGAUUUGGUUUUGCAAAUUUUGCCGCCUACAAACGGACAAAAAGACUAACCCAAAAUCUGAAUUUUGAACUAAAAACAAGCGAAAUUAAGACAAAAAAGGCCGAAAAUCUACCAAAAAUUGAAAUCCUACAGCAAAGGCUGUGCCCGGAACUGUAACGGGCCAAAAAAAUCAAAUAGGGCCGAAAAUUUUGGCCGGCUAACAUAUCUACCGGGCCCGGGUGAAACGGACGAAUUUCGCUGGGAUUUCGUUUUUUUCGGACGAAAUCCAAAACUCAGCUUGUUCCCUGCUAGGUUGUAAAUCUUAUCUGUGUGUCAAUUAACUCCAAUGUGAAAUCAACAUACGAAUAGAAAAUCCCAACAUCACAGUGCUUCAAUUCGAUAUGGUUUCUAAAUCGGAAAAAAAGAAGGACGUGCGGCACCAAGGUGGUGCGUUGGGUCUUGCAGCAGUUCCAUGCUCGAUGGGUUGAACUUGUGGUAAGAAUUCCUUGCAAAAUGGAGAGCCUGGAUAGAUAUCUUUCAUCAUGACAUCCUGAACUCGAGGAUUUAUUCAUGUUUUUCUUUCAAAUUAUUGGUAUGUAGUGUUCCUAGGCAUUUUGACAUCUAUUCCGAAUCAAUUGUUUUAUGAACUUCCAGAUUUUGUUUGUUUUUAAAUGAAUAUUGCAUUGCCUCUUGAUGAGUUUGAAAAUUUUCAUUCUAGCUUUUGUUUUAUAUUGCCAACUACAGGAUAAUAUACUAUCUUGUUGCAUGUUUUUAGUACCCUUCUCCAUUCAAAAUCGAUCUCCAUAAUCUAGUAAUAAGUUAGUAGUAUCAUUACUGGAAUCUACACGUACGUCGAGUGCCAAAAACACUCGGCAAAGGACAUAAAAGCCCUGGCGAAGCCUUUGCCGAUUAUUUCCCUCGUCAAAGAGUAGUCGGCGUACCCCCUUCCGGCAAAUAAAAGUUUGCCAAGUUCCUUUUGUCGGUCACUCCACAAAGACUUUGCCGAGUGUCAAAACCCAGUGCACGGCAUCACUACUAGAAAAAAGUCUAUAGGUAGAACCUUACAAAUACCGCUUGUUGGGGCCUACACGCUACUGCUAAGUAUCAGUAGCGCCGGCUCGAUUUUGUGCACGUGGCAAUCUCCCUAUGGUCUGGAUUCGGCUAAACUGUACUGCCAUCUUUCAAUCUUUGCUCAUCUGCGAGCCGAUCAGUGAUCACGCUGCCAUCCCUCUUCGGCAGUAGAUCCUCCUGGAAUUCUCUGACCAGCGACAUGAACUUUUGAGAUGAUAAGUUUCCAUAUGCCUCUCAUUCAUAAUUCCCCUGGAAUCCAACCAUUGAUUGUUUUCACUACUCUUCCUCGCUAGGGAACCUUGACCCUGAUCGUGUUUGUUUGGCUGCUGAUAACAUAGUUUGAGGCCACAUGGAGACCACAGAGAGGAGCACUGUGUCCUUUAUAAGUGUCGUUCAUGCUUAGGCUGAGGAAGGUUGGUGAGCACAUUAACUAUCCAUCCAUCAAUACCAACUCAUUGAGUACCAAUUGUACCUAAGUCUCAAUUUCCCUAUAUAAGUGCCGGUCAUGCUGAUGCUUUGCUCCCUUUUAUGGGCUCAUCGUAGACUCCACACUCAACACUUGUUUGCUAAGCUUUUCAGAUACAGUGCGUUCGGAACGUGUAUGCCUCAUACACCUUUUCAUACACCUUUAUUAAGUGUGUAGAAGGAGUGAAACGCUAGAAUCACCAUCUCCAGCCCUUCGGAGUCGCACGCGGCCUCCAAGACUGCAAAUGACAUGUCAUUCCUGUUGUAGUUGCAGAAUAGCCUAAUGUUGCCUUUCUUCUUUGUAGCCUCCAUUUUUCCCUUUGAUCCCUGCUAGGUUGCCUUUUAGGUAAUAAAGCACCCUUUAUAAAAAACAAUAAUCCUAUCCGUAUGUCAAUUAAAUUCAAACUGAAAUCAACAUACGAUCUGCACAAUAUAAAAUCUUGAUACUAUAGUGCUUCAAGUCAACGCGUCAACAAGUGGCCGGCUGCUCCGUAGCAUUUCGGAGCGGCCGGCCUAUUAUGGUAAAAUUUGGUCCUUACUCUAAAAAGGGAAAUUAUUGAUCUAUCCUAAUCUAUGAAGGAAAUUCUAAUCCCUACUACUUCCUCUGUCUCAAAAUAAUUAUCUUACCUUUAUACUAGCUCUAGUACAAAGUUAUACUAAACCUAAAACAGUUAUUUUGGAACGGAUGAAGUAGAAAAUACAUACGCAGACAGAAAAAAAAAGAAUACUCCCUUCAUUCCUGAUUUAUUGAUUUCAUGUAGAUUAACUCGUUUUGUUCCGCAUGUAAUGAAUUCUCUAAAAGGUCUUAUAUUUAGGAAUGGAGGGAAAAACAUGCAUGUAAACAGGUCUGAAAGCAUUUAAUUCGGGGUUUGAAAUUUUUACACAGCCUUAACUUUCAAACCAUGCGUCAGAAUUAAGAUCCAUUUUCACCAUUGGAAUACUCGCGACGUGCUCCUCGAAACGAGAUCCUGCAUGGAUACAUUUCAAAGAAUUUUAUAUUUGUGCAAUUUUUCCCAUUUGGUGCAACUAUCUUAAAGUUGAUGUGCAACUUCCUCCUACUCAUAGACAUGUAUUUUUCGGUGAUGCAAACAUGUGUGAACAUAUGUAAUGCAAAUUCUAUUUUCUAAACCAAUGUCAUAACUUUUGAACAGAUUAUCAAAAUUAAGAUCUGCUUUCAUCAUUGGAAUCUUCAUGACGUGCUCUUUGAAACUAGAUCCCAUCCGACAAACAUUUUUGUGUAAGUCUUGGUGAGGUCAGCACUAUAAUAUAUGACAGGACAACUGCUUGUUGCUUCAAUUAUCUCCAAACUGAAACUAACAUUCCAUCUUCUAGUCUAGUACAAAAGGAAACAAAAUUCUCAACAUAAUGGUGCUUUAGUUCGUUGGUCUCUGCAUUCGGGGAAAACAAAGGUGCCAUAUUUCUUAUUAAUUGCAUAUAUUUGCGGAAGAGGAUGGGUUGACGAUUGUUGCAUACCACAAUGACGGCAUGACGCCGCUGUAAUGGGCCCACUAGCGGUUCCUUGUUAGCUGGGUCAAAUUGUAGUUAUCAUUCGUUGUAUGGAGGUUUUGGAUAGCAGUCUUUUGUGGACUUAUAUGUUGUUGCAAUUGUGGGACUGGAGAUUUUGUUUGUGUUUCAGUUAAGACUUUCUUUGGCGGGGGUUUCAGUUAAGACUAUGGGCAUCUAGAUUUCGUGGGCAUUGGUUUCCUAUCUCCAUUACCAAAAAAAGCUUUCACCCCACUUUAUAUAUAACACAACGAUCAACAACUGCCCGUUACAAACGCACGCCAUCCCAACACACGCACACACCAACGACACGAUACAUCGCCGCUGAUUGCAGCAAGGCCACCCGUAGCACUACAAGAGCAACCGGGUGGUUCUACCGGGGACACGCCACCGCGAAGAAAUGAAGUCGCAUACGACAAUCCGUAGGCUGCAAAGGCGGCGCCUUCAUGAAGGAAACGACAACAGAGUGCCGUCACUGCCCGAUCCGAGGAUCAGAAUGUCCCCUGGAGCAGCACGAUGGGCAGUGAGAGCCGCGACGACGCCUUCAAGAAGGGAACGAACUUCGCUGGCGCCGAUCCGUCCGAAGAUGGAAUAGGUUUUCACCCUGGCCAACACUCACCGCCAUCGAUCGCCACACGCCGCCUGCCACGCCGCCCACACGGCCAUGGCCACCGGAUAGCACCAAGCCACGGGCUCUGCCAAUGAGCACCACGCAACUACCUCGAGGGCCGCCGCCCCGACAUUCAAGACCUUUACACCACGUCACCCGAGAUCCGCCGCUACCCAAACCAAAGAGACGAGUGGAAAGGUCCUGCCUUUCCCACCCCUGGGCAGCACCUAGCGCCGAGAUCCAAUAGGCUAGCCAAAACUGCCCUCCAUCGACUCGUCCUGCAGCACCGGAGGCGAGAAGAGAUCGGUCCUGCGGUAGCAUGUGCGAGAGGAGAUCGGUCAUGCUGCAACGUGCACGAGACGAGCUCAGUCCACCUCACAAAUGCGAGACGAGGUCGGUCCUGCCUUACCGGACGCGAGAUGAGCAAUCUAACGCGUUGGGAGAGGGCCAUCCCUUUGACAGAGGUAGAGCUGAAACUCCGAGGAGAUGAAGCAAAGGUCGACACGGUCCGACCAUAGACGAGCCGACGCCAGAGAAGCUAGUCGUCGCCGUGGGCAAAGCCACCGAGUUACAUUGUUGCGACACACCACCAGGAGGCCACCGCCCAUGCGCCAGACCUUCCUGCACCUCCGGCCACGACCGAAGCAGCAACCACGCCGGUCCGAUGCCCUAACCCACGCCGCCCGUCAAAAUAGACCAGAUCCAGCUGGCACGCACUGCCACCACCGCCACCAACCCGCGCCACCGACCGACAGGUGCCACGCGUCAGAUCCGGCACCAUGACACCACCGCCACCAAUCCGCGCCACCACAUGUCGCGUGCUAACCUCCACCAGCCACCACUGCCACCGGAGCAAUAGUAGCGGCAGGCCCGCGGCACCCAUGACCCGCACCGCCACCUAGAUCCACGUGCUAGAUCUGAGGUUCCAUCCCUCCAUGGCUCCAGGAGGCGCACCCACCCAGCAAGCAGACCACCAAGCCGCAGAACACGUCGAUCGCCGUCGUCAGGCAGAGAUCCGCCACGUCGUCGCGCCCUACCCCAGCGCCCCCCCCCACCCGAGCUUGGCUCGCGCCAAGCUGCCUCUGCGGGGAUGCGAGGAGACGAUGAGGCCCAUCGCUGCCGGCGGUGUGGGAUGGCGGAGAGAGGGGGAGGCAGGGGGCCUGAUCGGCCGCUAGGGUUCCCUCCGUUGCCCAUGGGUGCGAGGGAGGGAGGAGUUGUAAAUAGCAUGGUCCUGUGUCUCUAUUCAAGCUAUAGUACCGACAUGAGAGGGAUUUGGACUUGGAGCACGAGGAUCAGCAAACUUCGGCUUUGCAAAUUUCUGUUUCCACAUACAUGUCAUUCUAGUUAGCUUUUUUCCUUUUCCAAAAAAUAAAAUUCUAGUUAGCUUUUGGAUUUUAUUCCCAACUACAGAUCUACAACCAUUAUGACUGGGAUUUGAGACGACUUUCCAGUUUGUUUUGCCACAUGGACCAAGACAAGUUAAAGAUGACAAGAAAAUAAGAUCAGGCGGUUUUAACUUUUCCCGACGAGCAUUUGGUACUAACGAUGAGACAAACACCUUCAAAGAGUUUUCAAGUUUCUUUCAAUCAAUUGUGACCAAUACUUCACAAAAUUUGUAGAUACGAAAACAACUCCAACCGCGCGACCCAAACGGACGCCCGUCCGCUCGUACGUAUCUGUUUUUUAAAUUGGAUCGGCCGGUGCACCUAACGGAAAGUAAGUGGAUGAAGGCAUUGUGACAGUAAAAUAAUAGAAGAGAGAUAGUUGAGGAUAGGCCAGCAAAUUAAAUAAAUGGAAAGAGGUGGGUGAGUGGAUGGGUGACAAAUGGGCCAGGCCCGAACACAAACGGACUACGCAGACACAGAUUACGUCCGCCUUGUGUCCACCCGUGACCCAAGUGUGACCCAACUUUGGGACAAGAAUGGGUCCGAGUGGUCAGAAAGCAGAGACGAAAUGAAAAUAGGUAUGUGCGUUGGGCGACCGUUUUCUACCGCGAUGACCAAAAAGAUAUGGACGGGUGAAAUGAAUCGCCCGGUUGGAGUUGCUCUGAGUGUAUGAUAAAAAAUGUUUUUGUUUGGAUGGUGCUGCUUCCCUGCUUAUGUGUUGUGUACAGGGGUUUCCGCUUCCUGCACACGAGCAUCUUUGUGUUGUCUUGAGUAGUUCGCUUCCGGCCAUUCGUUUCACAUCGAGCAGCCCCGACGGCUAGACGACAACCCUGUCAAUAUAACUGUCUCCACCUCACAGGCCAAUCCACAACAUUUUCUCUCUCUAUCACUGCCGUUGCUAGGAGCGGCAUAACGAUUCUGGUGGCCAAUGAUGCUGCGAUGCAGUCCUCUAAGGGGAAAGUUGUAUUUCACAUAUUUUAUGUGCGCAUUCAAAUCUCGAUGCUAUCAGAACGGCGAGGAUGAAGGGUACACCUACAUUGUAUCUAAAACUCUAGUCCCCAUUCUCCAUCUUUGUUAGUGUACUGCAAAAUCUUGUUCAUGAUUCAUGGUUUACAGAACCCAAUUCCCUGCUACCGUUUCAAUAUCCGCGUGUUGCUUCACAGGCAUGAAACAGAAAGACUUUCGGCAGAUCUGUACUACCGUCUUCUUACGAUUGCUCCUCCACAAGUACAUCAGGGUUGCCGCUGCAUAAACUCCUUGAAAAUACAUAGACAUCACCUCUUUCAUCGUCCCGUAUUAUUUCUGGAGAUGAUAUGUUUUCAUAUGCCUUCCAUUCAUAUUUCAUAGAAAAUUGCAUGGGUCCAACGAGUUGUUUAUUGACAGUGCUCGCUCUCACGUAGGAGCCCCAGGCCUAUUCAUAUUUGUUCUCCUGUAGUACUAUCUUGAUAACAUAGUUAGAGACCACAAGAGACUACAGAGAGCAAUGCUUCCUUUAUAAUCGUUGGUCAUAUCUCGCCAAUAAAAAAACGUUGGUCAUGCUUUGGCUGAGAAAGUUUGGUGAGCACAUUAUAUAUUCACCCAUUAAAUUUUUGACAAAGUCUUGGAGGCUGCUACAUACUUGUGUUGGCUUUUCGUCCUCAGAUCGAACACACGAUCACCCUGCAGCUCGACUAGUCCUGUACGUGCAACUCGGCUCAACGUAUACGAACUAGUUGUAGCACUCGAUAUCUCACCGGCGCUUACGCAAACACCGAGACCAGAACACACGCACGCGAACGCAGCAACACGAAGAUGGCCAGAGGCACGUGUCGUGCCUCGUAAUAAUCUCUUUAUUGCUUUUCUCGUUUUUCUGGUGCUUACAAACGAUGCUAGGUAAUGCAUAUAUAUAGGCGGAAGGCCCUGACUUCUAAACCUGAUCGUGCUAAGCACGUUACAACUUUACUAGGAAAUAAUGAACCGACUAGAACACUUAACUUAUUUGAGCUCGGACCCUUGCUGGAAUCGGACCCGAACAUACGUGUAUGGAAAGGUAAACUGACUCAAGCUAAACCUUCCACUACUACUACUGCUAAUGACCCGGCAACGUUGAUCACAUUACUAAUCCUAACCGGACUCAACGAAGCUAGCUCACGUUUGGAUUAUUCUACAACUUGAGCCUUAACAUUCUUUUCUCUUAAGAGGUUUGGCUCAAAUGUGUCCUCCGUUUCAUUGUCUCCCCUCACCCUCUAUACUCAACAGUGAUUAUCUAAGUUGAUGGUACCGUGGGAGAUGGUGCAUUUGGACACGGUGACGAAGGCCAUACUAUGCUCAGAAACUAAACCACGUCUUGGUCCUCACAGGUGGCCUUCAGAGUUCAAAUGUUGUGUCAUCCCUGUUUGUACCGAGAGAGUAGCCUACUAAAAUUUGCUUAUUUGUAGCCUCUCUGUUUCUUCUUAUUAUUCCGUGCUAGGUCCAGUUCUUGUUGAUGAUAUCCUUGCUGGUGAUCUUGCAUAGGAUUGACUGGAUUUGUGUGAACUGGGCUUUGCAAUCAUCGGGUGCGAUUAACUCAAUAGUUUUAGCCUAGAUAGUGAUGUCAUCAUUUGCGUUGACGGUUUUAAAGCAUUGUGUGAACUCGUCCAUGUUGUGCAUGAUGUAGUAGGCAGCCGUCAGACUCUUAUCAUGCGGUUUUUGGUCAAGCGAUCUUGAAUUUCACAAUUGCGACUUAGAGGUUCUGUGUCUCCUUUAAUCAAACUAGUACUGGCAUGUAGGUUUCUUAGGCGUUUUAACCUCCUAUUCUUAUGCGAGGAUCUGAAUUGGUUGCGGCAUGUUUUUAAUAUUGUAAGUUGCAAUUGAAGAUUUUGUGUCUCUUUACAAAAUAGUGGCAUUAGGUUUUCUAGCUGUCAUGUCGUAACAUUUAAUGAUCAUAACUUGCAUGCUCUUGGUCCUUCUACAGUGUUACCCAUGCUAAAUUGGCCAAUUGGGGAUACUCUGAUUUCCGAGAAAAAAUAUGGCAACGGCUUGACUGCGGAGGAAACAACUCAGUAUAAAACUAUUGAUAAGCAAGUCCACUGAGCUAUGAAUUACCAUAUGAACUUGCAUGCUGAGAUGCCUAGAAUAUUUUUCCUGUUGUUUUAGCUAGGCAACAUAUAUAUGGCCGGCACUGAUGCCAAAUUGCUUGAAUGUACACUAGUAGAAAAAGGGCCUUUUGUCUCGGUUCAUAAGGACCUUCUGUCCCGGUUUCGGAACCGGGACAAAAAGGUCGUUACUAAUGCCCU